GACGAACGCUGGCGGCGUGCCUAAUACAUGCAAGUCGAACGCUUCUUUCCUCCCGAGUGCUUGCACUCAAUUGGAAAGAGGAGUGGCGGACGGGUGAGUAACACGUGGGUAACCUACCCAUCAGAGGGGGAUAACACUUGGAAACAGGUGCUAAUACCGCAUAACAGUUUAUGCCGCAUGGCAUAAGAGUGAAAGGCGCUUUCGGGUGUCGCUGAUGGAUGGACCCACGGUGCAUUAGCUAGUUGGUGAGGUAACGGCUCACCAAGGCCACGAUGCAUAGCCGACCUGAGAGGGUGAUCGGCCACACUGGGACUGAGACACGGCCCAGACUCCUACGGGAGGCAGCAGUAGGGAAUCUUCGGCAAUGGACGAAAGUCUGACCGAGCAACGCCGCGUGAGUGAAGAAGGUUUUCGGAUCGUAAAACUCUGUUGUUAGAGAAGAACAAGGACGUUAGUAACUGAACGUCCCCUGACGGUAUCUAACCAGAAAGCCACGGCUAACUACGUG
rnacentral:rRNA from 1 species